rnacentral:misc_RNA from 1 species
UUUCCGUAGGUGAACCUGCGGAAGGAUCAUUAAUGAGUUGUCAUGGGGUUCGAUGCUGGCAGCCAAUUUUUGGAUGCAUGUGCUUGCCUAACAAUCAUCUUCCAAACACCUGUGCACAUUUUUGAGGGAGUCUUGAGUUGGUUGCCGCUCUUGGGUGAUUUUCUCACAUUCCCUUAAAUCAUUAUACGCUAUUAACAAUGUUGAACGUGCUCUGUGCCGCAAGGCUAUUAAUAUAAUACAACUUUUAACAACGGAUCUCUAGGCUCUC